rnacentral:rRNA from 1 species
ACUUCGGUGAGUGGAAAGUGGCGGACGGGUGAGUAAUGUGUAGAGAAUCUGCCCUUGAGUGGGGGACAACAGCUGGAAACGGUUGCUAAUACCCCAUAUGAGAUAUUUUGCAAUAGAUAUCUUGAAAACUCCGGUGCUCAAGGAUGAGUCUGCAUCUGAUUAGCUAGUUGGCGGGGUAAUGGCCCACCAAGGCGACGAUCAGUAGCUGGUUUGAGAGGAUGAUCAGCCACAAUGGGACUGAGACACGGCCCAUACUCC